AGGCCAAACCACCCUGAAUAUACCUGAUCUCAUCUGAUCUCGGAAGCUAAGCAGGGUCGGGCCUGGUUAGUACUUGGACGGGAGGAGAUGGGGAGAAUAUUCUG
rnacentral:rRNA from 2 species